UCCAGCAACUUCCUUGUCUUUUGAGUAUGCAGUUACUAUUUUUUUUACAAUAUGAGAGAAUUUCUACUUUCAGAAUUGCACUCGGUAAUUUGCAACUCGUUUUCAUCCUUUCUACUUCUACUUCUUUAUUCUUGUGCCUGGAGCGAUUAUGGUUUUAUAUCAAAAUGUUUAGUAUGGACAGUUAUUGUACAAAGCAUUUCAAAUGAGGUUCAACAUGGGAUGAAUAAGUCCACCGACAAAGUGCAUCGGAAUACUUUACAAAGAAGCAAAAUUUUUCUGGCAAACGUCUAUUUAUUUCUAAUGUUCGAAUGGAUUAUGUUUUACACUGAUAUCUUCCUCGUGACCGGAAUGACUCUACAGUUUGCAAUAUUUCAACUAAAAUUUCGAGAAGCAAUGGCUCUCCUGCUGCAUCAAUAUUUCGAAUUUACAAGUCUAGUGUGUAAAGGUAGAACGCUUGUCGCGCUUACACAGUUAAUAUUUUUAUGAGAUGAAUUUACCAAUGGUUCAUUAUAAAGAAUUAAAUUGUAAUACGUACAAG